GAUGAACGCUGGCGGCGUGCCUAAUACAUGCAAGUCGAGCGAACGGACGAGAAGCUUGCUUCUCUGAUGUUAGCGGCGGGCGGGUGAGUAACACGUGGAUAACCUACCUAUAAGACUGGGAUAACUUCGGGAAACCGGAGCUUAUACCGGAUAAUAUUUUGAACCGCAUGGUUCAAUAGUGAAAGACGGUCUUGCUGUCACUUCUAGCUGGAUCCGGGCUUGAUUAGCUAGUUGUUAAGGUAAAGGCUUACCAAGGCAAGGAUGCAUAGCCGACCUGAGAGGGUGAUCGGCCACACGGGAACGGGAACACGGUCAAGACUACUACGGGAGGGAGCAGUAGGGAACGUUCCGCAAUGGGCGAAAGCCUGACGGAGCAACGCCGCGUGAGUGAUGAAGGUCUUCGGAUCGUAAAACUCUGUUAUUAGGGAAGAACAUAUGUGUAAGUAACUGUGCACAUCUUGACGGUACCGAAUCAGAAAGCCACGGCUAACUACGUG
rnacentral:rRNA from 1 species